rnacentral:rRNA from 1 species
UUAAUACCGGAUAGAUCAAAGAUACUGGAAUGUUCUCUGGUCUAAAGCUCCGGCGCCCAAGGAUGGGUCUGCGGCCUAUCAGGUAGUAGUGGGUGUAACGUACCUACUAGCCUGCGACGGGUACGGGUUGUGAGAGCAAGAUCCCGGAGAUGGAUUCUGAGACAUGAAUCCAGGCCCUACGGGGUGCAGCAGGCGCGAAACCUUUACACUGCGGGAAACCGCGAUAGGGGGACCCCGAGUGCCAGCACCUAGUGCUGGCUGUCCCGCUGUCCAAACAACAGCGGUUAGCAAGGGCCGGGCAAGACCGGUGCCAGCCGCCGCGGUAACACCGGCGGCCCGAGUGGUAGCCGCUAUUAUUGGGUUUAAAGGGUCCGUAGCCGGCCUGUUAAGUCUCUUGGGAAAUCUGGCGGCUCAAUCGUCAGGCGUUCA